AUAUUUUGCGAAAAUCACCUCCCCUUUCUUCCGACAAACUACGCAGCCCUCCCUCCGUCUGCUUCUCUGCUCCGUCGCCUCGCCACGCGCCGGCCACCUGCUCCGUCGCCUCGCCGCCUGCUCCGUCGCCUCGCCGCAUGUCGGCCGCCUUCUCCCCCUCGUCUCGCCGCUUCUCUCCGUCCGCACUAGGAGAUCAAGAGGGAAGGGAUCCCCUUUUCUGUAAAGCUCGUGCCUUGUCGGCUCCGUCGACGGCGCUCGAUGACCCGCUCCUCGUCCUCGAGCACCUCCUCCAGACCUCGAGCUCCGGCGGCGGCGCUCGAUGGCCCGCUCCUUGUCCUUGAGCACCUCCUCCAGACCUCGAGUUCCGGCGGAGGUGGCGUGGGAAAGACGACCAGGGCAUGGGGAGGACGAAGAGUUGCUCCAGCAGCUCGUCUUGCUCCUCGAGCUGGUGGGCUGAUGAUGGAGGACCUGCACUCUUGGCUCCACCAGCGCCGCCGCUGCCGCUUCUGCUCCCCGUUCGCCCACAUCGCAGAGAUUGGAGGAGGAAUGGAGUAUUGCAGAGGAAUGGAUGAUGCUUCUUUUGGUGCAGGUGAGCCAUGUAUUGGGAGUACGAGUACAGCACUGACAAAAUUCAGUUAGCCAUGGAGUACAAUAGAUGAACAUACAGUAUAGAUUCAGUUAGCCUUGCACUUUGCAUGCUUCCAGUAUUGGUGAACAUACAGUAUAAAUUCAGUAUAAACAGUAUUGGUGAUAAUUGAGUUCAAUUGGUGACAAAAUCACUACUUUGUGUACACAUUGACUGAAUUUAACUUGGAGUACAGUCACUACAUUGCUUCUCUGCUUACAAAAUUCAGAUUGAAUUUCACUAUCAAAAGAAAAGAAGUGAAGAUUAAAUGCACAACACUUCAAUUGUGUGCUCAGUAAAAUUACCAAGUUCAGUAAAAUUCAGUCUAUGAAUUCAGAUUACUGUGUGCUCAAUUGUGUGCAUCGCUGGGACAAUUUACUGUUCAUGAAUUGGAGUAGACCUCUGCUUUCAUGUUUUAGGUAGCAUCAUCCAUGGAUGCAUUCACUAUUUCAAUCAACUCCUGAAGAUUGGAUUCAGUACAAAAUUCAGUUAACUACUAUAGAAAAGAGAGAUUCCAAAUUAAUCAAUUUAAUUCAGUAGAAUUUUUUUCCACCUAGUCCCCCUGUUUCCAGGUCAAGACCUUCACCCUGCGCUCAUCAUGUAAGCCACUUUGUAAUCUUAUUGUGCUGUCUUUUCUCUGUCUUUCUGUCAGGAAGGAUUUGGGAAUGUUUUCAGAGAUGUUUUCCUUCUCUCAUUUUAGACCAUGAUCAUUUUAAUGCUACAGUUCAGAAACAAGGAAAUUUAGUUGAUGAAAGCACAUUCCAUGAACAUCAAGGAAAUUUUAGUAAACUGCAGUAGGAUUUUUCCAUGUUAGUGCUUGCAAAAUUUGUCGCUGUCAACUGAAACAUGAGUGUAUGUUUUCAUUUUCCAAGCUAGUGCUUGCAAAAUUUGCAAGCAUUGUUCUUUUAUUUUAUUUCUUUGUACAAUAUGGCAGUAGAGACCAUGCCAGUAGAGACCACAACAGUAGUGACCAUGACAGUACUGAACAUAUGCUCCCCUGAAUUUUUUAUGCUCCUACUCCACUUUAUGAUUUUUUUUAACUGCCAAAUGACAAUUUACUGAAGAUGCAGAGAAGAUGCUAGUAGUAUCUCUCACAAGUUAACUUAAUCUUGGAAAGUUCACUUUAUGUGCUCACAUUCGAUCGUGUGUAAUAGUUCUACGAAGGUAAUCUUGUAGAGAAUAGGCUUAAGAACCCUGCUUUUAUACAUAGUUUAAUUUUAUGCUCAAUAGACCAGCAACAUGACUCUACUUCUGUAUGUUGUGUAAUUAAUUAAUCCAGAGUAAGAAUCUUGGAAAGUUGGAAGGCCUAUCUGCAUGAAGAAAAACUACAAGUGAAUGCCCACCAUUUUGAAAGCUUUUCCUCCUGUGGGUGCUCUGACAGCUCAAAAAAAAAGUGAUGACAUAUUAAAUUCCUUAAUAAUGUUCUUUUAUCUUGAGGAAAUUGACAGCAACAGUAGAUCAGAAAUUGCUUCUACUCUAGAGUACUCUCACCGGCAGCAUGAUCAAUUGUGUUUGAAAUUAAUGAACAAGUGCAAGGAUCAGAAAAUGGAGCUUCUUCUCACCGGCAGCAUGAUCAAUUGUGUUUGAAAUUAAUGAACAAGUGCAAGGAUCAGAAAUUGGAGCUUCUUCUCACCGGCAGCAGCACAAGCAGGGUAGCUCCGGUCAGCAGCACGAGCAAGCCCGCCUGGGAGGAGCAGCAACUUAUAGACGAGCAGCAGGUCUAGGAGAGGAGUGGGGGAGACGACAGGGGCCUCGAGGUUGAGGAUGAGCUUCAAUUCCAGGCCCGCCGGGAGCUCCAGGUCCAGGCGCUCGAGACCCAGGCGCGCGCAGGUCCUGGCGGCGGCGCAGGCCCUGGCUGGCGGGAGGGGAUAGCGGCGCAGCCCUAGGAGGCAGAAGGGGUGACGGCGGGAGAGGAUGGCGGCGGUGCAGCGCCAUUCAGCCGUGGAGCCGCCGCCCGUCGAGGUGGUCGCCGCGGAGGAGCAGGUGGACGGCGCAGGUGGGCGCGGGCGGCGUUGGUUCACAGCGGUGGUGCAGCUCGCCUCGGGUGGCGUAGGUGGGCACGGGCGGCGGUGGUUCACAGCGGCGGCGCAGGUCGUGGCCGUCGUCACGCGCUCGGCCCUACGACGGGUGCCGACGGUGGCUUGGGCGGCGGACGGAGAAAGCAGGAAGAAGCAACCGGGGGCUGAUUAGCAACAGAUUUGAAGAUGAAAGGUUUUUUUUGCAAAUUUGAAAAUGGACUAAGGGCUGGACAACUUUUCCCGGACGGAGGGAGUACAUUACAAAUAUAUAGGAUUUUUUUUGCAAAAUCAUCAUGGUUUAAGAGCAGUUUUGAAAAAACCGUUUUUUUCAAAACCGAAAACGCGAAUCAUAUUUUGGACUCAAUUUUCAAAUGGUUUGUCGGAAUUGAG